GAUCCUGGCUCAGGAUGAACGCUGGCGGCGUGCUUAACACAUGCAAGUCGAACGAAGCACUUUAUUACAAUUUCUUCGGAAUGACGAUUUAGUGACUGAGUGGCGGACGGGUGAGUAACGCGUGGAUAACCUGCCUCACACAGGGGGAUAACAGUUAGAAAUGACUGCUAAUACCGCAUAAGCGCACGGUACCGCAUGGUACAGUGUGAAAAACUCCGGUGGUGUGAGAUGGAUCCGCG
rnacentral:rRNA from 1 species